rnacentral:rRNA from 1 species
AAAGCCUGAUGCAGCAACGCCGCGUGAGUGAUGAAGGCCUUCGGGUCGUAAAACUCUGUCCUCAAGGAAGAUAAUGACGGUACUUGAGGAGGAAGCCCCGGCUAACUACGUGCCAGCAGCCGCGGUACUACGUAGGGGGCUAGCGUUAUCCGGAUUUACUGGGCGUAAAGGGUGCGUAGGCGGUCUUUCAAGUCAGGAGUGAAAGGCUACGGCUCAACCGUAGUAAGCUCUUGAAACUGGGAGACUUGAGUGCAGGAGAGGAGAGUGGAAUUCCUAGUGUAGCGGUGAAAUGCGUAGAUAUUAGGAGGAACACCAGUUGCGAAGGCGGCUCUCUGGACUGUAACUGACGCUGAGGCACGAAAGCGUGGGGAGCAAACAGGAUUAGAUACCCUGGUAGUCCACGCUGUAAACGAUGAGUACUAGGUGUCGGGGGUUACCCCC